rnacentral:rRNA from 1 species
GACGAACGCUGGCGGCGUGCUUAACACAUGCAAGUCGAACGGAAAGGCCUGCUUUCCCUUGUGGAUUGCGGGUACUCGAGUGGCGAACGGGUGAGUAACACGUGAGUGAUCUGCCCCCAACUUGGGUAUAAGCCUGGGAAACUGGGUCUAAUUCCCGAUAGGACUGCAGGGUGGUGCCUGUGGUGGAAAACGAUUUUCUAGUGGUUGGGGAUGAGCUCGCGGCCUAUCAGCUUGUUGGUGGGGUAAUGGCCUACCAAGGCGGCGACGGGUAGCCGGCCUGAGAAGGUGGACGGACACAUUGGGACUGGGAUACGGCCCAGACACCUACGGGAGGCAGCAGUGGGGAAUAUUGGACAAUGGGGGGAAGGCUGAUGCAGCGACGCCGCGUGGGGGAUGACGGCCUUCGGGUUGUAAACUCCUUUCGACCGCGAGGAAGCCACCUGGUUGGAAGGAUGGUGACGGUAGUGGUAGAAGAAGCACCGGCUAACUACGUG